GCUGGGUGUGGUGGCGCACACCUGUAGUCCCAGCUACUCAGGAGGCAGAGGCAGGAGGAUCACUUGAGCUCAGAAGGUCAAGGCUGCAGUGAGCUAUGAUCACAUGACUGCACUCCAGCCUGGGUGACACAGGAGACCCUGCAUCUUAAAAGAAGAAAAGUUGGGUAUGGUGGCUCACGCCUGUAAUCCCAGGACUUUGGGAGGCUGAAGUGGACAGAUCACUUGAGCCCAGGAGUUUGAGAUCAGCCUGGGCAACAUAGUGAAACCCCAUCUCU
rnacentral:sRNA from 1 species